rnacentral:rRNA from 1 species
CUGCCGGCGACCGGCGCACGGGUGAGUAACACGUAUGCAACCUGCCCUCCGCAGGGGGAUAACCCGGAGAAAUCCGGACUAAUACCGCGUGGUACACCAGUGGGGCAUCCCACUGGUGUUAAAAGGAAGUGAUUCCGGCGGAGGAUGGGCAUGCGGCGCAUUAGCUUGUUGGCGGGGUAACGGCCCACCAAGGCGACGAUGCGUAGGGGUUCUGAGAGGAAGGUCCCCCACACUGGUACUGAGACACGGCCCAGACUCCUACGGAAGGCAGCAG